GUGCAGCAGGCGAGAAUCCUCCUCAAUGCACUCACGUGCGAAGGGGUUACCUCGAGUGCCGCCUGAAGAAGGCGGCUUUUCCAUGGUCUAAAAGCCUAGGGAAUAAGAGGGGGCAAGACUGGUGUCAGCCGCCGCGGUAACACCAGCCCCUCGAGUGGUGGGGAUGAUUAUUUGGCCUAAAGCGUCCGUAGCCGGCCGGGUAAGUCUCCCGUUAAAUCCAGCGUCUCAAGCGUUGGACUGCGGGAGAUACUGUCUGGCUAGAGAGUGGGAGAGGUGUACGGUAUUCUGGGGGUAGGGGCGAAAUCCUUUGAUCCCCGGAGGACCACCAGUGGCGAAGGCUGUACACUAGAACACGUCUGACGGUCAGGGACGAAAGCUGGGGUAGCGAACCGGAUUAGAUA
rnacentral:rRNA from 1 species